rnacentral:lncRNA from 1 species
CUUGGCUAUAGAGUACUAAUUGUGAUGCAAGCAAGUUCUUUUGCCAGUGGCAACCAGCAGAGCUUCCCCAGAAGAUUGGAGGGGAUGAGUCAGGGGCAAGGAAGGAUUAACAGAUUCUGCAUCAAGGCCUGUUGAACCAAGUCCUCUCCCCAAGACAGACACAUACUAGUGAAAUACAUUAGAUUUAAAUCAUCACCUGAGGCAAUCCUGAAAGAGAAAAGCAGUCCUAGAAAAGAGGGAGGAAAAGAGGACAGCCCCAUUCUCUUUGUGACCACGAAGACUGCCGCCAUGUGGAUGGGAGCCACAUGACUCCUUUUAGCACCAGCUGAGAUUCUUCUGCCCUGGAACUAGUUCCUCCGAGUUAUUCCCAGGCCUGGAGAUUUAAUUCCUGCACCUGGAAGUUGCCAGAGCGAAGGAAGCAAAAGCAUCCAUUAUGAGAUUCACCAGAAGGGUAUGACCAGCUUUAGAAGGAGAAUCCUGGACAACAACACACGCAGCUGUGAAGGCCACAAGUGUGACAUCAAAAGCCAAGUGAAAUGGAAGGAAUGUGAAGAUGCUGUCAUAAACAUUUCUACCUCAUAUGACAGCUUUAACAAUACUUUCAAGGUUUUCAUUGAACAAGCCAAGGAAAGGGGAAUUGCAAAAGAAAGGCUUUCAGGAACAGCCACCACCAAGAUUGUUAUUCUGAUAAUGAAAAACUGA